rnacentral:rRNA from 1 species
AUUGAACGCUGGCGGCAGGCUUAACACAUGCAAGUCGAACGAGUGGCGGACGGGUGAGUAAUGCUUGGGAAUCUGGCUUAUGGAGGGGGAUAACGACGGGAAACUGUCGCUAAUACCGCGUACCAUAGGAUGAGCCCAAGUGGGAUUAGGUAGUUGGUGGGGUAAUGGCCUACCAAGCCGACGCUCUCUAGCUGGUCUGAGAGGAUGAUCCGCCACACUGGUACUGAGACACGGCCCAGACUCCUACGGGAGGCAGCAGUGGGGAAUUUUGGACAAUGGGCGCAAGCUGAUCCAGCCAUGCCGCGUGUCUGAAGAAGGCCUUCGGGUUGUAAAGUUCUUUCGGUGACGAGGCGUUAAUCACAGAAGAAGCACCGGCUAACUCCGUGCCAGCCGCCGCGGUAAUAC